AAAUGAUGUCAAGCAAGAUUUCUCUUGCUUUCUUUACUCUUAUAACCUUAUCCCUAAUCCUUCCCUCUCGUGCCCAAGACAACCCACAAGAUUACCUUGAUGCUCAUAAUGCAGCUCGUGCAGCUGUAGGUGUUGGUCCACUAACCUGGGACACCACAGUGCAAGCCUAUGCACAAAAUUAUGCUAACCAACGUGCCGGCGAUUGCAACCUUGUCCAUUCAGGUGGACCUUAUGGGGAGAACAUUGCAUGGAGCAGCGCGGACCUUUCAGGUACAGAUGCUGUAAAAAUGUGGGUUGAUGAGAAGGCUUACUACGACUACAACUCCAACUCAUGUGCCGCUGGCCAGCAGUGUGGGCACUAUACUCAGGUGGUUUGGCGUAAUUCUGCUCGCCUAGGAUGUGCUAAAGUGAAGUGUAGCACCGGAGGAACCUUCAUUGGGUGCAACUAUGAUCCACCCGGCAACUAUGUUGGGCAAAAACCUUACUAAACCUUUCUGAUUAUGAAAUUAGUGCUUCUAUUACCUGGAAUAUUAGUGAUAAAUAAGCUGAUUUAUAUUGGCAUUAAUUAAUAUAUGAUAGAAAAAUAUUUGCUACAUCUUGAUGAUAUGCUGAUUGCUGGCAUACAGGAAGUUCACGUGGUAUACGUUUGGAUGAUGUUAUAUAUAUAUAUAUAUAUAAAUAUAAUUAGCUUCUUAUAAUUUUAAUUAUAGUCAGAAUGAUCACAACUUAUGUGUUAUAGCAUCCAUUUUCAAUUCAAAUUAUCACUACAAGAUUUAACAGUUUUACCGACGGAAUUUUUUCGUUGGUGUAAGACACAUAUUCCAUCGGUAAUUAUAUUACCGACGGAAUCACAGAUGGAACAUACGCGUCGGUAAUAAUAUUUUUUAUUACCAACGGAAUUACCGAGGGAUAUACCGACGGAAUUACCGACGGAAAUUUCGUCGGUAAUUAUAUAAAAACAUUUUUAAAAAAAUUAUUUUAUAAAAUUAUAAAAUAAUUAAAUUAACAUAAAUCAACACUCUAUAAUAUAUACUCAAAAUGCUUGGAAAAAAGAAUAAGAAAAUCAACUCAAACAAAUUUGUAACAAAUAAAUAAAACAAAAAAAUAAAUUCAACUAAAAAAAUUCAUAUGAAAAAAAUAAAGUUACAAUUGCUAAAAAUUUAAAAAUCCCUAUAAAUAAAUCAACUAAAAAUUGAUCUCAUAUGAAAAAAAAAAUCUCACAACAACAUUUAUACAAUUAUUAAGAACACAAAAAAUUAAAAAUAAAAUAAAAUAACAAAUAUAGUGAAAAAUAUCAUGAAAAAAGAAGGAAAAAAAAAAUCUUACCUUAAUGUAGUUGCAAGUGAAGCUAAGGAGAGAAAAAUAAAUCGUAAAGCAUAUUAAUUAAAAAAAAGUAAGAAGAUAAAAGAAGAAAGAAGAAGAAGACAUACCCCGAGCAUAGAGGGAAAGAGAAGGAGAUGAGGAGAGAAAAGAAGAGAAAGAAAUAGAUAUUGAUGUUUUUUACAUAUAGUGAAGAAGAAGAAGAAGAAGAAAAGUAGUAGAAGAAGAAUAAUAAGAAAUGAGUUUAUCUCUUAUGAAAUAAGGGGAUCCAGACUUUUUAUUGAGGCGUGUUAGCGACGGAUUUACCGACAGAUAAUUGAAUAUUAAUAUUUUUUAAUUAUUCCGUCGGUAAUUCCAUCGGUAAUAUUUAAUUUAAAUUUUCAAUUUCAUAAAAAGUUUUCAGAAACCGCCAACAAUUACCGAUAAUUUUUCAAUCCGUCAGUGAUUCCGUCUGUAAUAUUAUACUUCAAUUCAUGUGUUGGGAAAUAAAGAAUAAUUCAUUAAUUAGCGAUUGUUUGUCUCUCGUUGUCUUGGCUGUAAUCAUCCCUUUAGCUAGCUCAAGCUCAAAACUACUCUAAACAAGACUUCCUCAAUGCUCACAACAACGCUCGAGCACAGGGUGGGUGUUGGACCUUUGGGAUGGAAUUAAAAUUAGCAAAAUUUGAAAAACCAUGAAAGUAAAAAAAAAAAAAAAAUCUUGAAACAUAAAAUAUUAAAUCAUACCAGUCGCAAACAAAUUACUAAUCAGCUCAUACCACUAGUGUUAUUUAAUGAUACAAUUCAAUACAUGCAAGUCAAUAUCUAGUAUUAAUACCUUAAAAAUAAUUAGAAAAAUAAUAUUAAUGGAUAUAUGAUAUUUUUUUCUCUAAUUUGGAUAUGAUUUUUUGAGGUAUUACAAUAAAUUUAAAGAGAAUUCAAAAAAACAUGUAAAAAAUUAUGGGUUGAGUCGGAUAGGUACUUGGACUGAUAAAAAAAACCUUUCAUCCUAUUUGAUCCGACUUGAGCGGGUGUGGAUCCAAUGCAAAUGAUGGUUAUAGGAAUACCGAGUUGGAUGCAGGUGCAAAACAACUCGACUCGGUCCAUUACCAUCCUAUUGGUUCUCUGCUUUUCUUGUCAUCAUCCAUUGGGUUAGUAGGUGCAAUCCAAGAUGCUACCUCAGUAAGAAUAGACUCAACUAUUCUUACACAUAUAAAUGUAUUUUAAAUAUAUUAUUAUAUGAAUUUAUCCAUCAUCUAAGAUUAUGGAUCAGACUUAAUUUUUUACAUAUCAUUUUAUAGAAGCAUUAUUAAAAAUUUAUUUACAAUGAUGAAUUAAUGACUAUAUGUUAACAAAAUUCGCAUUCUAAAUUCAAAAAUACAAUUAGUUUGGUUCAUAAUCUUUUAUAUAUAUUGCUCUCAAUUAAGCUCGUUGCUAUUUUGAUCCUUUCUCUCUCUCCACACACACACACGUAUAGAGUAAUUUUCUCUCCCUUCCUGAUUUCCCUUUCUUUUCUUUCUUUUCUUUCUUCUUCUUCUUUUCCUUUGGAUACGAUGAGGUUUUUAUUUAAGCGGUCUACAUAAGUGAAGUUUUUAUAUUUAAUUUUUUCAGAUAUCGAUGCCAUAUAAUUAAUUUGUUAGUUAAGGUAAUUCACAUCUUAUGCCAUCUCUUGCUGUAACCAUUCAUUUAGAACAAAAUAUAUUAAAGGGGCUGUUUUUUAAAGUAUAUUUUAUUUAUAAAUAUAUUAAAAUAAUAUUUUUAUAGUCUUUUAAUAAUUAUUUUUUAUAUCAGCAUAUCAAAAUAAUUAAAAACUAUAAAAACAAUUAAUUUUAAAUAAAAAAAAAUGAUUUCAAUUUAAAAAAACUCAAUUUGAAAUGUAAUUUUAAACAACAUAAGGGCCAUUUUUAGAAAAAUAAGUUGGAAUGGUGUAUUCAAAAUGAAGAUCAGAUAUCUUUCUUAAUAAAAACACUUUUAAUGAUGAUUUUAUCUAUUAAUAAUUUAAUCCAAAUCUACUUCCCAAAUUGGUGUCUCGAAAAUUGUUGCAUCGUAUGGGGUGGAUUCCCCUCACACAGAGAACUCGCUCAUCCAAAUGCUAAUAAUAAUAAUAAUAAAAAACUCUUGGGAAAUUGACUGAUAAAUAUGAAUCUUUGUUUAUGAUGUGCGCAAACUGAUCCAAACAUCCACAUUAAAUUAAAAAAAAAAACUAGUUGAAGUGUAUAGACAAAUUGGUAAUCAAUAGAUGGCUGGAAAAAUGGAAAACCAUUUUGAAAAUCGUAAUCCUAUGAUAUAAAUACUAUAUUAUAAUAAGAUGAAUAAAAUCAGAUAUGCAUACAAAAAUGAUUGAGGAUUUAAUAACUUUACUAUUAUAUGUGAAUUCACAGUUUGCUUUGUGCCCAUGAUUAAGAAGAACAAAGAAAAAAAACGAAGGAAAGAAGUUGCUCUGUGCCUGGAAUGGAGACGGCUAGGUUACAAGUAGUCAUUUGCGUUCAUGUCUCCCUGGCCCAGGCUUCUGCCGAUGAUUUUGUUAAAGCCCAUAACGAAAUUCGUGUACAGGUUGGGGAUGUCCCGAUUUCUUGGAACAAAAACAUUGGCAGCCGGAGCCUGUUUGGGCAAGGGAACUUGCUAUACCAAGGAUCUCCUGCUGCAAUUUAAUCGAAGACAUGUUCACUGAAGGCCUCUUAUCCUUUGACUGCGUCUGAAGCUGUUGGGUUGUGGUGCCAGCGAGAAACCUUCCUAGGAUUAUUUUGCCUAGUCAAAAAUUUUACAUGAGUUUUUUUUUUUAAAUUGGAUUUUAAAUAUUCAUAGCAAGCUAUCUAAUGCAUAAAUUUAUUAACGGGAGAGAUUUUCACUGUAUAUUUUUUACUGUGCAAAAUUUUAUUUUAUUUUUUUUCAAUUUAAUCCUUAAACUUUGUUUUUUGCAAUCAAGUCAAAGAGCAAUUAAUUUCAAAUUCUUAUGAAAAGGUGAGAUUGAAAGGGGGAGGACUGAAAUUAAAAAUACGGCAAACAUAGGUGACGUAUCACAAGUUUAAAAAACAUUUACUUUGGUCCUCCAACUUAAAUAAUCACGCAAAUUAUACAAUUACAGUUCAUUGAAAUUGUUCCAAUUCCAUUUUGGUACAUAGAUUUAUUUUUAUUAAUUUUUAUCCUUAGUCGAGAGAGGAGAGAGAGAGGGGUCGCCGGACCCCGUUAAUAGAGAGGGAAAAACUUGUCAUCGGCACCGAUUUAGACCAUAAAAAUAAAAGAUUUUUACGUCAAAUUGUUUUAUUUGAAACGGAGAAUUUAUAUUAAGUGUUUUUAUAUCUUAAAAGUUCUUGAAAAAAUAUAUCUGAAUUCAAAUUAAAGACAAUAGAAAGUGAUGACAUGUAUCGAGGUUUACUCUUAUGCAAUUAAUUUCUAGAAUAUCCAUGCAUCUGAAUUUUGUAUCUUUAUACUCUUAUAACUAAUAUUUAUUAGUGAGACGUAAUGUUUUAUAUGCUUUUUAAGAAUUUUUCAUUCUUAUAUGUGUUCUUGAAUAUAAAUAUUUUUUUCUCGUGUGUGUAUAUAUAUUUUUAUCUUUAGCACUAAAAUAUCUUUAAAACUAUAUAUUAAUUUUUUUUCUAACACUUAAAAAACAUCAAUGAUAAAAAAAACUUCACAAAAUUUAAAAAAUCAAUAAAGUAGAGAAAAAAAACUAGAAACAUAUUGUAACAUCCCAAGAAACUAUAAUAAAUCAUGAAAAUAUAUAGACAGAACACGUAGGAACUAAGAUAAGAUUCAUUGUCAGAUUUAAUAAUUUUAUGUAUGAAAAUUUUUGUCAUUGUUUAUACUUACAGUUUUACAUUGAAGAAUUCUAUCGAUAUUUCGGUUUAUAUUUAUUAAUUUUAUAACCGUGGUUGUUUGUAGAAUUCAAGACAAACAAGAUAUGUACUAAUUGAAAUACAAAGUACAAACCUAUUAAUAAGAAAUUUUUGUAUGGUAGUUGCAUUUUGUUAAUCACUUCGUAGUUUAUUUUGAAAAACAAAAUAUAAAAGAACAAGAAAAUAAAAUUUAUUAUUCAUAAAAAAAAUGAUAAAAACAUCUAGAUUUCUUUCUCCACUUAUAUUUUUUUUAUAAUUUUAAAAUGAAUCCUAAAAAGUAACUACUCUAAUUACUAUAAAAAAAAUUUGAAGGGUUUUAAAAAGAUUAUUUGAUCAGUUUUUGCUCGAUUCUAGCAUGUUCCGCAAUUGACGAUUAGCCAAGGGAGAUAUAGUGUUUUUUUUUACAGACUAUCCGGGUGCAUCACUUUACACGAAAAGGAAACAGAAUAGUCAAGAGUCUAAGUCGUCCAUUUCAAAAAAAAUAAUCAAGUACUGUCUGCUUUCUGACUAAAGGAUCUUUUUGAAGUUAUCUAGAUAUAGAAUAAAUUUCAAAAUAAUUUUUUUCUACACUAAUUCUGGUAUUGCAACUCGGCAUUAUAUUAAGUUGGAAAUUCUAUCAAUCACUCAACAAUUUGAAAAAAAAACAAAGUUUAUAGAAAGCACGGGUUUGUUAUCAUAAAAAAAAAAAACUAGCAUUUUAACUAUUUCUUUUUUUAAUUAAUAACCAACUUUCUGUUAUAAUUAUUUUCACCUUACAUAUAAGCUUUUAAUUGAUUAGACUCAACCAGUUGUAAAUUUAGUAUAGUUUAAUUGGUCAGAUUCUGAAUUUAAUUUUUAGAAAUUAUUAAUUUAAGUGAUACAAAUCUCAGGACCACUAUAGAUUUACAUCGUUAACUUCAGGAUCUUAAAAAUUUAGUUAAAGUAUACGUAAACGAGUUCGAACACCACCGUUACAAAAAAAAAAAAAAAAACUAGCUGAUGUUCAAAACAGCCCAGGUGUUCCUAUCAUGUUAAUCCAUGUUACACGGCACUUCUUUGUUUUGAGAGGCUGCCAACACAUGCUUGGCCUCAAAAAAAACAAAAACCUUCACUUUUUUUCUGUCUUUUGGGGUCUUGACUCAUGGUCAAGAGAUAAAACACGUUCGGAUAUUCUCGAAUAUGCUAACUUUUGAUGGGCGUGUUACACGCUCUUCUUCUCUUAAUUUUAUGAGAGGUAAUAUAUAUUUUCGAAUAAAUUCGGCAAACAAAGAUUGAAUUAUUUUUUUCAUUCUGCUAAGGUCAGUUAUUGCUAAAACUUUAAGAUUCAUGAGAGCUUUAAUAUCCCAAAAAGGAGAUAUAUCCCUAAAAAUCAGGCUAAUAUUCCCACGUAUUCAUGUUAAUCCAUUUUGUAUAUCAUGGUUAAUUUGUAGGUUUAAAAGAAGAUUUUUUUAAAAAAAAAUUCUUUGAAUGAUUACAUGUCACUAGGAAAAUCAAUUAGUUGUUCGGUAAUUUCUCAAGAGAAAACAAGAAAAGGUGUCAUGUUUUAGACGCAACAAUGGAAGCGGCGUGAUUUGUGGAACAAAAACUUGCUAGGACAAGAACAAGAUUAGUGCAAGCAGGCGGUAAGAAAGAAGAAAAACAUAGGAAAUUCAAAAUGCCAUAUAAUAAUUCAAACUGAAGUAAUCCCAGACCUCCCACUCAUCUAAAAAUUAAUUAAUCAGUCCGAGUUUUGAUUCAACUGAACAUACACCAAUACCAUGUCCUCCCUAAAAUAUAAAGCAACAGACAAAAAUCUAAGAGCUUAUUAGGUUUUCAUCUAAUUAAAAAAAUUGAAAAUAUUAAUUUGAUGAUCAAGGAGAUUUUUUUAAAAAAAAAUUGAAUUCAAAUCUUAUAAUCAAUAUUUACAAAGAUUUAUUAAAUUUAUCUGCAUACAUGCAUCAUACGAUAAUAUUUUUAAUUAAAUUAUUUUGAAAAAAACAUAACUUUUAUAUUAUCCUUUUCAUUAAAUAAAAAAAAAUAUUAAGAUAAUUACACAUAACAUGGUAGACCGGUGUGAAAAUUAUGAAUGAAAUUAUUGGAUUGGUGGAGUGUUAGUGGUUCUUUUCCCUGCUAUGUGGAUGAUCUAUUACAUCAGUGACCUAACCUAGUGUUUGAAAAAUUUAAGUGUUAGACUUGGUCUAUAUUUUCUUGUUGUGUUAGCUAAAGUAUAUGGCUUACGAAGAACAAUGUUAUCUUCAAUGUUGGAACUGCGAUCUUUGAAGACAGUUUCUCCUUGAUUUUAUAUCGUCUCUCGAAUGAACUCAAAUCUGCAGAUAAGUUUUUCAUAGCUACUAGAACUGAUUUAUUUAUGGGGUCUAAAUGUAUUAUAGAUUGGUCUAACAACAUCAAAUGAAGGCUUUAAACAUGACACAUCAACUCUUUCAGUCCUUAUACUUUUUUUCUAAUCUAUAUCUGUUGGCUUUUUAUUUUUUAUUAUCUGCUUUUUGUUUUUAGAUUAUUCUGUUUUGUUUUUGUUUUUUUUUUAUCUCUUGCUUUUGGCUAGUUCCUUUAAUAUAUCGAAUUCUUUCAAAAAAAAAAAAAAAGAUAAUUACAUAAAACUUACUACCUCGCGAUGAAAUCCUAAGUUGAAAUCUAGCAAAAAAAUGUCUUAGUAAUUGAACACAUUGAUCAGGCACGACAUAUCUGGUCAGCAUCGAUUUAUUCAAGAAAAUCAACUUAGAAUUUGGCAUCUGGUAAAUUCAAAUAGAUAUUUAUUUUUUUCUAAUUAAACUUCAUUAUAUCAAAUAACCAAUUUAUAACCAAUUUAAUUUAAAAGCUCAAGAUACUAAAUAAAAUUCUAAAAUAUAAUUUAUAUUAUUUUUUAAUACACUUUUUCAAAUAAAAAAAUUUUUGAUCUUGAAAUUUAUAUAACUUUAUACUAUCUUGUGUUUAAUUUUUAUUAAAUAAAUAAAAUAAUGAGAUUUAAAGUCAUAAUCGCUUAGUUAUCAAGAUUUUAAUGUAAAGUAAAAUUUAAUUCAACCCAAAAAUUUAAUAUAUAAUUUAUAAUAUUCUACAUAAAUUAAACCGUUUGAUCGAAUCACUUGCUGCCAAAACAUCCAUACAUUUUCAUCCAAUUAAAGUGAAGCCGACAACUUCUACUUUUCCAAGGGACUUGCUUUGGAGCCCGUCAUUUAACGCUAUUGUUUUGAACAUUCUACGCAGACAAUCGAUCCAAGCAUUUAACGCUAUUGUUUUGAACAUUCUACGCAGACUUCGCUUGCAUACUUCCAAAUCAUCGUUCACAUAAUGUUGCAGAACGCCUAUAAAUACCGUUUGAGCUCUCAUUGUUAUUUCAUCCAUCACCUACGAAAUUCUUUUGCAAGAUAAAAAAAGAGAAAUUAAGUGUGCAAAAUGAUGUCAAGCAAGAUUUCUCUUGCUUUCUUUACUCUUAUAACCUUAUCCCUAAUCCUUCCCUCUCGUGCCCAAGACAACCCACAAGAUUACCUUGAUGCUCAUAAUGCAGCUCGUGCAGCUGUAGGUGUUGGUCCACUAACCUGGGACACCACAGUGCAAGCCUAUGCACAAAAUUAUGCUAACCAACGUGCCGGCGAUUGCAACCUUAUCCAUUCAGGUGGACCUUAUGGGGAGAACCUUGCAUGGAGCAGCGCGGACCUUUCAGGUACAGAUGCUGUCAAAAUGUGGGUUGAUGAGAAGGCUUACUACGACUACAACUCCAACUCAUGUGCCGCUGGCCAGCAGUGUGGGCACUAUACUCAGGUGGUUUGGCGGAACUCUGCUCGCCUAGGAUGUGCUAAAGUGAAGUGUAGCACCGGAGGAACCUUCAUUGGGUGCAACUAUGAUCCACCCGGCAACUAUGUUGGGCAAAAACCUUACUAAACCUUUCUGAUUAUGAAAUUAGUGCUUCUAUUACCUGGAAUACUAGUGAUAAAUAAGCUGAUUUAUAUUGGCAUUAAU
rnacentral:lncRNA from 1 species